GGACAUUCAUAGUUACUUGGGACAACAGUUUUAGCAGGGCUCUCUUUCUCCUUUCCUGAUCUCUCUGUUAAGCUGCCUGGCUCAUUUGAUAUUACAUCCAAAUUAUCAGCUGAUUGCUCUAUUGUUUUGGACAAUGCCCUGGGGCAUACCAAAAUGUGUCUGGAAUUGGUGAGUUCUUGGUCUUACUGACUUUAAGAAUGAAGUUGCGGACUUCUGCGAUGCCAAUAUUUUACCUCUUGGGUACUUUCUGUGUAGAAGAUUCAUAACAAGAACAAUACUUAUUCUGUAAUUCUUUAUAUAAAGCUAAAAGAAAAUGCAUUCUUCCAACAACUAAUGAGCUUGGAAGAGAACUCCAAACCCCAGAAGAGGCCUGUCACAUUGGCUAACACCUUGAUUUCCACCCACUGAGACCUUGAGCAGAGACUUCAGUUACACCCCACCCAGACUUCUGACCUGCAAAACU
rnacentral:antisense_RNA from 1 species